UACGGAGGGUGCAAGCGUUACUCGGAAUCACUGGGCGUAAAGCGCGCGUAGGCGGUUUGUUAAGUCGGAUGUGAAAGCCCUGGGCUCAACCUGGGAACUGCAUUCGAUACUGGCGAACUAGAGUUUGGUAGAGGUGAGUGGAAUUUCCAGUGUAGCGGUGAAAUGCGUAGAGAUUGGAAGGAACAUCAGUGGCGAAGGCGACUCACUGGACCAAAACUGACGCUGAGGUGCGAAAGCGUGGGUAGCAAACAGG
rnacentral:rRNA from 1 species